AUGAAGUCUUCGGACGCCAGGGGAUCGGCCUGCGGCCCAUUAUUUAAUCCUAGUUGGUAGGGUAACGGCCGUACCAGGUACGAUGGGUAGCUGGUCUGAGAGGAUGAUCAGCCACACUGGAACUGAGACACGGUCCAGACUCCUACGGGAGGCAGCAGUGGGGAAUAUUGGACAAUGGGCGCAAGCCUGAUCCAGCCACGCCGCGUGGGUGAUGAAGGCCUUCGGGUUGUAAAGCCCUGUCGGAGGGGACGAAGUCUUCGGAUUGACGGUACCUUCCAAGAAAGCACCGGCUAACUCCGUGCCAGCAGCCGCGGUAAUACGGAGGGUGCAAGCGUUGCUCGGAAUUACUGGGCGUAAAGCGUACGCAGGCGGUCUGAUAAGUCGGGUGUGAAAGCCCCGGGCUCAACCCGGGAACUGCAUUCGAAACUGCCAGACUUGAGUUUGGGAGAGGGAAGUGGAAUUCCUGGUGUAGAGGUGAAAUUCGUUGAUAUCAGGAGGAACACCGGCGGCGAAAGCGGC
rnacentral:rRNA from 1 species